rnacentral:rRNA from 1 species
UACGUAGGGUGCGAGCGUUGUCCGGAAUUAUUGGGCGUAAAGGGCUCGUAGGCGGUUUGUCGCGUCGGGAGUGAAAACCCAGGGCUUAACCCUGGGCUGGCUUCCGAUACGGGCAGACUAGAGGUAUGCAGGGGAGAACGGAAUUCCUGGUGUAGCGGUGAAAUGCGCAGAUAUCAGGAGGAACACCAAUGGCGAAGGCAGCACUCUGGGACGUGACUGACGCUGAGACGCGAAAGCGUGGGGAGCAAACAGG